AAACAUAAAAACAUCAAAUUGUAUUAAUUGAAAUUAAAAUUAACAAGAAUGUUCAUAAAACGAAAAUGACAAAAAUGAGAAAUUAACAAGAGCUAAGAGAAUAAGGACAAUUAAACAAGGAGAAGUAAAUGAAACUACACUAGAACAAGAAUUAAAGAGAGAAAUUGAAGAAAAAAUAAUUAAGAAACCCUAAUUUCUAGAGAGAAGGAAGAGCUUCUCUCUCUAGAAAUGACCUAUAACAUGAUACUAAACUAAACCUAAUUGCCCCCUUCAUCCUCUUCACUUUGGUCUGAAAUAGCUUCAGAAAUGAGUUGGAUUGGGCUCUGGAAGCCCAAAAAUUGCUACCAGCGAGUUGCAAUUAAUGAGGUCACGUGCCAGGACUUGUGCGUAUGUAUAGUUGUGUGCGUACGCACACUUGCUAUUUUCUUGUGUAUAUGCACACCCAAACUCCAUGUCCACUAUGACAAAUUGUAUAUCAUUUUGAAGCCCCGGAUGUUAGCUUUCCAAUGCCACUGGAACCGCCUCAUUUGGACCUCUGUCGCUCAAGUUAUGAUCAAUUCAGUAUAGAGAGGUCAGGAUUGGUAACUUUUCAAAUCCUUCGUUUCUUGAAUUCUUCCACUUUUCAUGCUUUCCUUCCUCACUUCUUCAAUCCAUAUUUUCCUCCAAAACCUUAAAUCACUCAACAAAUACAUCAAGGCAUCAAAUGGAAUUAAAGUGAAUAAAAUUUAAUAAUUUUAAGGUCUAAAAAGCAUGUUUUUACUUUUAAGCACAAUUUAAGAAGAAAUCAUAAAACUAUGCUAUUUCAAUGAAUAAAUACAAGAAAAGUCAAUGAAAUUCACCAAAUUAGAACAAAUAAAUACCAGGAAAUGUGGAUUCAACACAUCCCCACACUUAAAUAAUAGCAUGUCCUCAUGCUAUCCAAAGAAAGACAAGAAGGGGAAUCAACCAUUAUUCGAUGUAACUAUCUAUAUGCAAUCUAUCUAUAUGUAUGUAACUAUUCUACCUUAUACUAUCUACCUAUAUGCAUUUGCUUAGUCCAAGUAAAUCAAUUUCCAAGAAAGCAUCUAUAUUGAAUAAGGGCUAAGGCAAUCAUAUCCAAAUCACAUUUUCAAUUGAAUUGAGUCAUAUAAAACAAUUUAACAAACUUGCAAGAUAACAAUGAUCAAAGGUGGAAAUAUGGAAUUGAGUAAUUUAACCCUCACCGGAUGUGUAUAUACAUUCUAGUUGCUCAACUGUUUAGGGUCAAUCCACUCAAUUCUCCUCUAAUCAUGCUUUCUAAAGUUUGUUCUUCGUCUAACCAAUCAACAAGAAUUUAAUGUACACAUGCAAAAAUCAUAAGGUCUUUUCAAGGUUGUAAUGGGACUAAGAGUAAAGGUAAAGAUAUAUACAUGGCUAAGUGAGGUUGCAUUUGAAUCUUUGAUUAACCUAAGUUCUCACCUAAUACAUACAUACCCUAUACAAUUUUAAUAUCAAACUUAGCUACCUAAAAUCUCACUUUUACAUAUACACACACUCAUUCGUUUUAAUUUAAUUCAUCACAUAUGCAUUGAUUCUUAUUGAAUUUCUCAUAGGAGUAAUUUUGUCCCUUUUUCAUUAUUUCUUUUCUUUUUUUUAUUUUCUCUUCUUUUUUUUAACAUAAUAUAUACACCAACUCAUCAAUGCAUAUGAUUUCAAUAAUAUUACAUGAGCAAGUACCCAAAUUUUCAAUAUUUCUCACUAAGCUUAAAACACAUUUUCAUCAACCAAAGUUCUCCCAUUUCCCCACACUUAAACAUCACACACUCUCACUAACUUAAGCUAUCCAAAGAUUCAAGUAAAGGACAUUUAAUUAUUUUUUCGCUUAAGGUUAAUGAUGUGGCAAAAUAAAGAACAAAAAGGAGCAUUCAUAGGCUCAAAGUGGCAAACAAAGGUAAAUAAAAUGGUAGGCUAUUUGGGUUAAGUGAGCUAUAAAGAAGUGAUGGCCUCAAUCACAUAAAUGCAUAAAUAUACACUAAACAAUGGAUAUAUAGAAUUAAAUAAACUAAAGAUUGCAAUCAUAGAGAAGAGCAACACACAAGGAUGAAAUAAGUGGUCAAAUAAUGUAACCACACAAUAAGGCUCAAAAACUCACAAGUUGUAUGUUCUUUAACUCAACACAAUGUAUGAAUCAUGCAAGUUUCAAUGAAAAUUUUGAACUCAAUUCAAUUUGAAUUUCAAUGCCCUAUAUAAAAAGUAAGUUUCUUGGAAAUUUCAUUAAUUGACUAACAUUUAUUCUAUAUAUGUAUAUAAUGUGAUUGGAUGAAAAAGGUCAAAAAUCCUAAGUUUAAUUCCUAAUUCAAUCAAACCAAAAUAGCAAGUGUAUAGGAAAUCAACUUAGCGCAAUCAUCACAUCAUCCAAAUCACAAUCAUAACUAAAAACUAAAAAGCAUAUGUAAAAGCCAAAAUUAAAAGAAAAUAUAAAAAUAUGCAUCACUACAAUAUAAUACUAGGUUAUGUACAAGCAAAACUAAAAUGUGCAAUAAACUAAGAAAGUGAAAUAAACUAAGUAAAAAGGUUUUCAAAAAGAUAAAAUAUAUACAAAACAACAAAAAACAUAAAAAGAAACUAAACUAAAAGUGUUCGGAAAUGAAAUUUUUCACUAGAAAUGUGCUAGUGAAGUUGGACAACCUCCCCACACUUAAAAUGUAGCACCGUCCUCGGUGCUCACGAUCAGGCAGAGUGGAAAGAGUUGUCACUAUGUCACCUCCACCUUCAGCUGGUGGGUCAGGCGAUAGAGUGGCUGCAAGAGUGAUGGUGGUGCUGAGAAGCAGAAAACUGAGUCACAAAAUCGCAUAUAUAUGAAGUGAACAACUAAUAUAAACUUGAAUGGAAGUAUGCAUGAGAUUCAAGUUAAAAGUAAACAGAAGUAACUUCCAAUCAAUUCAAAAGUAAAGAGAAGAAAGGAGCAUUGUUGUUAUGCACGAAGAAAAAGAAAAUAGUUAAGAGUUAAGUGAAGAAAAAAAGAAAAUGGUUAGUUAAAAAGGAAAGUUAAAAGUUAUGUUAGGAAAAAGAAAGAGUUAGUUGAAAAAAGAAAGAAAAGUUAAAAGUUAUAUGAAGAAAAAGAAAAAGUUAGGUGAAAAAGAAAAGAAAGGUCAAGAGUUAUGUGAAGACAAACAAAGAGUUAGUUGAAAACAAAAAAGAAAAGCAAAAGUUAUGUGCAUAGCAAGAACGUCCCUUAAUUCUGAAAAUUCCAACAAUUUCCAAAACAAGCAAGUUCAUGUUCAACUUCGCAAUAAGUCAAAAUGCCAAAACAAGUAAUGCACAUGUAUGUGUAGAGCACAUAAUCAAAUGAAUAUUAAUUACCAUCAUUUGGCGUAAGUUAAAACAAUUUGGUGUUGGCAAAGUUAAAAACAUUGAGAAACAAGUUAACUAAGGAACAUUCAAAAACCAAAUUCCAAUGAGGCAUGAAAGUCACAAGUUGAAACAAGAAUUGAAAAUCUCAUGAUCCAUGUGACUUAAUGUACGUUAGGCAUGAAUAAAAUGAAUCAAAUCAGCCACUUAGAUUUAAAACCUUCAAACUUGUGAGUUUAUGCAAAAGAGGCUCUAAUUUUCAAAAGAACUUCAAGUUUAUGGUCAAUUUGAAACUCAAUUAAGGCAUAUUCAAUGCUCAAGAAGAACGCACAAUUUAAAACAAGCAAAAAAGUUAAAGAAUUGACCAAAACUUGUAAGAAAGCUCUUGAAGAAAUUUCCAAAACCAUUUAGCAAACAAGAUUCUUUUUGACACAGAAAUCCGUCAAAUAGAAUCUUGUGCACCAAAUAAAAUAAUGUCAUUUAAUGAAACAAGGUUAGGAAAAAUCCUGCAGCAUUUCAGUAGUAAAUUGGUCUAUUUCCCUAUUUCAAUGAAUCAAUUCAGAUUUCUGAUGAAUGCAUUAACACUUAAAUUCACAAAAAUCAUUUAUGGCUUCAUAGGAAAUCAGAAAGUGAGCCAAAAUACAGCAAGAGCAAAAAAAUACAGCACCAAAAUACUGAACUAUUUAACAAGCAGGCAAGCUGAAUUCAAACACUCAAGUGCGAAAUUGAAAGAAAACGUCAGCAGUAAUCAAUCUUGAAGCAAGAACAAAAUGGAAAAUUGAAAUGGAGCAAUUGACAAUUUAAUUCAAAUUCAAGAAAAGCAGCAUCACUACAACAGCCAUGAACCAGUCAAUAAGCAAGCAAUCUGAAUUCAAACACUUAACAUAAAUGAAUCUAAUGACUAGGUUCAAAUCGGAACAAAAAUACAGCAGUAGUGACAACUUAGACUCAGAAAUUACUCAAAGUUAUUAUUACUGCACAAACAGUUCAGAAUUUGUUCACUCCUACAAGAAUAAGGCAGUAAUACAAAUAUGCAGCAGCAUCAAACAAGCCAGUUUAGCACAAAAGUAAAUCAAUGAAACAGCAACAUAGCAUCAGUAAUAAUUUAAGCCUAACCAACAUCAUCAAGCAGCAUUAUUUCUUUGAACAAUGAACUAAAGUAAUGGCCUAAACCACAACACCAAAAAAGCACAAUAAACAAGUUCAUCCAGGGCAACAUUCAGAGGAAAGACAAAUUCAUUCCGAACAGCAGGAGUAAACAAAAUAAAAUCUUCAUCCACUAACCAAUCCAGAUUCUCUAACCACCUAAUUUAACUAAACUAAACUAAUUGAACUAAACAAGCCAAACAGAAUGAGCUAAACCAGAUUAAUCAAACAGAAAUAAAAUGAAAAUGAGAAGAAAGGGAACCUGGGAAGUAGGGGAUUGGAACAGAGGAAGGGAAGGGAAAGAAUGAUGAUGCUGAGAGAGUGGCUGGAGUAUCCUGGCCGGGGCAGAAGUGGCGGUGACCGGUGCUGUGAAACAGGGGUAGUGGUGGGAAGGCGGCAAAAUGGAAGUAGGGGUUUUGCCCUGUUCUUGCUGUUCGAAGGUAAUAGGAAGGGGAAAUAGAGCAAGGGGGUUGGAGCUUGUGUGUGGAGGGGGUGGUUUGCAAAAGUUCAGUGGACCCGAGCGGCGCUAGGGUUCAGACAGGGGGAAGGGAGGUGCGGUGGAAGCUGGGCAGCGGUGAUGGCAUAUCGUGGAGGUGAGGCUGACAGAAAGGGUAGAGGAAGAGGGAGAAGAAGGGGAAGGAAAAGGGGUGGUGGCCGGCGGCGGUAGUUGUCGCGGUGAAGGUGAGAAGAGGGAGUGGAACGCGGUGGCUUAGACUGGAGGCUGAGACAGGGAAGGUGCUGACGUGCGCUGGGAAGGAGAAGAGAAGGAGAAGGAAAGAGAAGAGUAGGGAAGAAAGGUGGAAAGGAUUGCGGUGACUAGGGCAGUCGUCGGCGGUUGUGGGUGAAGGGAGGAGGCUGGCUUGUGAUGGUGGUUCGGCAUUUGGAAGGGGAGAAGGAAGGUGAAGCUGUGAACGUUGGGGAAGGAGAAGAAGGGUAUUGAGGAGUCACAGGAAGCGUCACGCGUAGGCGUGACUUGCGAAAACGGAUAUCUACGCGUCAAUCAAGCCUGCGCAUGAUGGGAUGAAACUGGAAGGUCACGCGUGACAGGCAUGCUCGAAAAGAAAUAUGCACACGCAGUCGGGUGUGCGUGUGCUUUGGACAGAGGGCUGAUAUGAAAGUGUGCGUGUGUAUAGGGAGCGAAUUUUUUUUAACAGAAAUUCACCAACAUUCCAAAAUGUAUAUAAACAAGAAAUUAACAAAAAUAUGAAACUAUUUAUAUUAACUUUAAAAUUAAUCCAAAAUUUUAUUUUCCAAAUCAAAAUCAUUGGACUAUUCAAAGCAAUUGUAAUAUGCACAAGCAAAAAUCUACCAAAAUUAUUCUAACCAUCCAAAAACUAAUUGAAAAAUCAAAACAUGCAAUUCAAGUAAAAAAGACAAGUUUAAACAAGAUUACUAAUUAUUCAAAUAUCUAUUUUAAAACAAAAAUCUAUUAAGGCAAGCUAACAAUCAAGAAACAUAUUUAAAAGAAUGAAAUAAAAGAAGGAAGUUGGAAAGUUUUACCAUGGUGGAGUGUCUCCCACCAAACACUUUUAUUUAUUGUCUUUAAGUUAGACAAUUGGGAGAGCCCUUGUUAUGAUGGCUUAUGCUUGAAUUUUCCACCAAUGAUUGAAUUUUCAAUGUCCUUCGGGAUCCCAAACCUAACUAUUAACAAAGACUCAAGAUAACAAAAAAAGCAAGCUAUUUACAUAUUAACAUAUUCACAAUAGCCAAUAACAUAACACCAUUGCAAUUCCCUGACAACGGCGCCAAAAACUUGAUGAAGAGGAUUUAUGCCAAUUCGGAAUUCAGACAAAACAAUUCCGUUGAUAGCAUAGUCCGAACCGACAAUCGAUCUUCUCAAUCAAAGUUUAAUUUAAAGAUGUCACAAUCAGCACGAAAUAACCGGGAGUUUUAAUUCUCGGAUCGUUCCCCCUAAAAAUUGCAAUUGAGUGAUCAACUAUUGGCUAUGAGAAAAUGGGGGUUGAGAUUGCAAGAGGUAAGAAAUGUAAAUAGCAAGAAAUUAAAUAAGCAUGCAAUAACUAAAUAUCAAAAGUAAUCAAACUCAAGGCAAUAAAGCAAAAGAAAGGAAAAUUCAAGUGCUAAGAAACCUCUUAGCAAGGAUUGAGAGUUAAGGUUACCUAUCCUAGCCAUUAAUCACAAACAUAUGAUGAUUAUGAAGAGUUAAUCCUACUUAGUUAACCCUAGCAUCGAGGAUAAAUCAAAUAGGCAUAAUUAAUCUCAAUCCAUAAGUCCUAGUCAUCUCACUAAUUAACUUAAUGAAAGACUAGUGUCAAUGGAAACUAAAUUAACUAACUACCCUAAUAUAUUAAUCAAGAAUGGACAUCAAUGACUCAAGGUCACCAAAGUUCUCAAUUCCAAGUCAAGAGUGUAGAAAAGACUACACUAAAACUAAGCCAAGCAUUUUAUCAAACACUUGGUAUGCAUGAAAAUAAAAACAUAUUAAAUUGCAAUAAAAAUAAAAGGUAAAGCUACCAAAUGCAAGAAUAUAAUAAUAGCAACUCAAUUAAAUAACAAUAAACAUAAAAACAUCAAAUUGCAUUAAUUGAAAUAAAAAUUAACAAGAGUGUUCAUAAAACUAAAAUGACAAAAAUAGAAAAUUAACAAGAAGAGCUAAGAGAAAAAGGGCAAUUAAACAAGAAAAAGUAAAUAAAACUACACUAGAACAAGAAUUAAAGAGAAAAAUUGAAGACAAAAUAACUAAGAAAUCCUAAUUUCUAGAGAGAAUGGGGAGCUUCUCUCUCUAGAAAUGACCUAUAACAUGAUACU
rnacentral:lncRNA from 1 species